rnacentral:rRNA from 1 species
CAGUCGCCGCGGUAAUACGAAGGGUGCAAGCGUUAAUCGGAAUUACUGGGCGUAAAGUGUGCGUAGGCGGUGAGUUAAGUCUGCUGUGAAAUCCCCGGGCUCAACCUGGGAAUGGCAGUGGAUACUGGCUCGCUAGAGUGUGUCAGAGGAUGGUGGAAUUCCCGGUGUAGCGGUGAAAUGCGUAGAGAUCGGGAGGAACAUCAGUGGCGAAGGCGGCCAUCUGGGACAACACUGACGCUGAGGCACGAAAGCGUGGGGAGCAAACAGGAUUAGAGACCCCCGUAGUCCCUGUCUCUUAUAC